GUGCUCGCUUUCAGCAGCACAUAUACUAAAAUUGGAACGAUACAGAGAAGAUUAGCAUGGUCCCUGUGCAAAGAUGAUGCGCAAAUUAGUGAGGCGUUCCAUAUUUCA